rnacentral:rRNA from 1 species
UCGAGCGGCAGCAGCUCCUUCGGGAGGCUGGCGAGCGGCGGACGGGUGAGUAACGCGUGGGAAUCUGCCCUUUGGUGGGGGAUAGCCCGGGGAAACUCGGAUUAAUACCGCAUACGCCCUGCGGGGCAAAGCGGCCCUCUGAAUAUGGUCACGCCGAAGGAUGAGCCCGCGUCCGAUUAGCUUGUUGGUAGGGUAAUGGCCUACCAAGGCGACGAUCGGUAGCUGGUCUUAGCGGACGAUCAGCCACACCGGGACUGAGACACGGCCCGGACUCCUACGGGAGGCAGCAGUGGGGAAUAUUGGACAAUGGGGGAAACCCUGAUCCAGCAAUGCCGCGUGGGUGAAGAAGGCUUGCGGGUUGUAAAGCCCUUUCAGCCGGGAGGAAAAGCAUUCGGUUAAUACCCGGAUGUAUUGACGUUACCGGCAGAAGAAGCACCGGCUAACUCCGUGCCAGCAGCCGCGGUAAUACGGAGGGUGCAAGCGUUAAUCGGAAUUACUGGGCGUAAAGCGCGCGUAGGCGGUCGGAUAAGUCGGGUGUGAAAGCCCCGGGCUCAACCUGGGAAUUGCAUUCGAUACUGUCUGGCUAGAGUCUGGCAGAGGGAGGUGGAAUUUCCGGUGUGGCGGUGAAAUGCGUAGAUAUCGGAAGGAACACCAGUGGCGAAGGCGACCUCCUGGGCCAAGACUGACGCUGAGGUGCGAAAGCGUGGGGGAGCAAACAGGAUUAGAUACCCUGGUAGUCC